GUUUUCAAGGGUUGGAACAGGUUAUGCUGGUGUGGUAGAAAAGAGAAGAAGAGGGAUUGAAAUCAGUAAGGUUCCAAGGUUUGAAGCUGGUCGUAGAAAGGAGAAGAAGAGGGAUUGAAAUCGUUCUAAAUUUUGUUCCCUGGAAUAUCUACGAAAGAAGAAUAGGGAUUGAAAUCGAGCUUUGGCUCAACUUUUGCAACAAAGUGCAUUACAACUCACUAUAUGCUACCACAGGACUGCAGACAAAAUUCCAUCCAUUCAAAACAGAACUCCAUUAACUUUUAAUUAUACCUCACCUCAAUAGCUAUUUCAGGAGCAUACUUCAAUUCAAUUUAUACAUUGUAAUACAAAAUUUUGGCCAAGAUGUACCUCACUUCACAACAUAAUUUCAAUAAAAACAAUUCCUCUGGAAUUUUUCCC